rnacentral:tRNA from 1 species
GGAGAGAUGGUCGAGUGGUUUAAGGCGCAACAUUGGAAAUGUUGCUUAAGGUUAACUUUAACGAGGGUUCGAAUCCCUCUCUCUCCU